UACGAAGGGGGCUAGCGUUGUUCGGAAUCACUGGGCGUAAAGGGCGCGUAGGCGGCUUUAUAAGUCGGGGGUGAAAGCCUGUGGCUCAACCACAGAAUUGCCUUCGAUACUGUAGAGCUUGAGACCGGAAGAGGUAAGUGGAAUUGCGAGUGUAGAGGUGAAAUUCGUAGAUAUUCGCAAGAACACCAGUGGCGAAGGCGGCUUACUGGUCCGGUUCUGACGCUGAGGCGCGAAAGCGUGGGGAGCAAACAGG
rnacentral:rRNA from 1 species